rnacentral:rRNA from 1 species
GACAGAGGGUGCAAACGUUGUUCGGAAUUACUGGGCGUAAAGCGCAUGUAGGCGGCCACGCAGGUCGGAUGUGAAAUCCCUCGGCUCAACCAAGGACGUGCAUUCGAAACCGCAUGGCUCGAGUCCCGGAGAGGGUGGCGGAAUUCUCGGUGUAGAGGUGAAAUUCGUAGAUAUCGAGAGGAACACCGGCGGCGAAAGCGGCCACCUGGACGAGGACUGACGCUGAGAUGCGAAAGCGUGGGGAGCAAACAGG